GACGAACGCUGGCGGCGUGCUUAACACAUGCAAGUCGAACGGUGAAGCGCCUUCCUUUUUGGUGGGUGUGGAUGAGUGGCGAACGGGUGAGUAACACGUGAGUAACCUGCCCCCUUCUUCUGGAUAACCGCAUGAAAGUGUGGCUAAUACGGGAUAUUCUGGGUCUGUCGCAUGAUGGGUCUGGGAAAGAUAUUGUUUCGGUGGGGGAUGGGCUCGCGGCCUAUCAGCUUGUUGGUGGGGUGAUGGCCUACCAAGGCGGUGACGGGUAGCCGGCCUGAGAGGGUGGACGGUCACACUGGGACUGAGACACGGCCAAGACUCCUACGGGAGGCAGCAGUGGGGAAUAGGGCACAAUGGGCGCAAGCAUGAUGCAGCGACGCCGCGGGAGGGAUGGAGGCCUUCGGGUUGUGAACCUCUUUCGCCAGUGAAGCAGGCCUGCCUCGUUUGUGGGUGGGUUGACGGUAGCUGGAUAAGAAGCGCCGGCUAACUACGUG
rnacentral:rRNA from 1 species